AGCACGAUGGCCGAGUGGUUAAGGCGUUGGACUUAAGUUCCAAUGGACGUGAGUCCUCGUGGGUUCGAACCCCACUCGUGCUA
rfam:Haemonchus contortus, ISE/inbred ISE, WGS project CAVP01000000 data, contig: Hcontortus_44734